rnacentral:lncRNA from 1 species
CUUCUGCUACAGUUCCCUCAAGGUGUCUGUGUACCUGUCUUGGGUAGGAGAAGGCUCACAUUUCAUCUCUUUUGUUUUGCUUUUGGAGGAGAUUUUGAUGGACGUGGUGGAGGUCUUGAUAGGGGUAGUAUGGAUGGCAAGAGUUUCCUUGGUGGGCUUUUUCCCAGUCUUAUCUACCUUUGGAGCAAAUCCUUUUUUAAGCCGAUGAUCGGCUCUUUCUUCCCAUGAUUGGCAAUACUCAACUCCAUGUCAUGGGAUCGAGUUGCUAAUUCUUCAAAAGUUCUUGGUUUUAUGCCUUGGAAGAUGUAAUGUAGCCCCCAGUGCAUGCCUUAAACACACAUCUCAAUGGCUAAGGUUUCAAAAAGCUGAUCUUUACAAUCCAAACUUAAUGAAUGCCACUUAUUGAUGUAGUCGACGACAGGUUCAUCUUUUCACUAUUACAUACUCGUUAGCUCCAGCAUCCUUAC